CCAAUAGCGUAUAUUAAAGUUGUUGCAGUUAAAAAGCUCGUAGUUGAAUUUCGGGAUUGACGUGAUGGUCAUGCCUUAAGGGGUAUGAACUGUUGCUGUUGAUUUCUCACCUUCUGGAGAAACUUGAUGUCCUUUAUUGGGUGUCUUGCGGAUCCAGGACCUUUACCUUGAAAAAAUUAGAGUGUUUAAAGCAGGCAUUUUUGCUCGAAUACAUUAGCAUGGAAUAAUAGAAUAGGACGGCAUGGUUCUAUUUUGUUGGUUUCUAGGAUCACCGUAAUGAUUAAUAGGGAUAGUUGGGGGCAUUAGUAUUCAAUUGUCAGAGGUGAAAUUCUUGGAUUUAUUGAAGACUAACUACUGCGAAAGCAUUUGCCAAGGAUGUUUUCAUUAAUCAAGAACGAAAGUUAGGGGAUCGAAGACGAUCAGAUACCGUCGUAGUCUUAACCAUAAACUAUGCCGACUAGGAAUCAGACGAUGUUAAUUUUUUAAUGACUCGUUUGGCACCUUACA
rnacentral:misc_RNA from 1 species